GACGAACGCUGGCGGCGUGCUUAACACAUGCAAGUCGAACGGAAAGGCCCUGCUUGCAGGGUACUCGAGUGGCGAACGGGUGAGUAACACGUGGGUGAUCUGCCCUGCACUUCGGGAUAAGCCUAGGAAACUGGGUCUAAUACCGGAUAGGAGCCAUUUUUAGUGUGAUGGUUGGAAAGUUUUUUCGGUGUAGGAUGAGCUCGCGGCCUAUCAGCUUGUUGGUGGGGUAAUGGCCUACCAAGGCGGCGACGGGUAGCCGGCCUGAGAGGGUGGACGGCCACAUUGGGACUGAGAUACGGCCCAGACUCCUACGGGAGGCAGCAGUGGGGAAUAUUGCACAAUGGGCGCAAGCCUGAUGCAGCGACGCCGCGUGGGGGAUGACGGCCUUCGGGUUGUAAACUCCUUUCGCUAGGGACGAAGCUUUUGUGACGGUACCUAGAUAAGAAGCACCGGCUAACUACGUG
rnacentral:rRNA from 1 species